rnacentral:lncRNA from 1 species
GGCCUGGCCCAGGCCUGGGGGCUAUUUGACAUUCUUGCUUGCCCUUACAGCCUCCAGGGAUGAGUCAGAGCUCAAUGGCCGCAGCUUGACCAGACAGUCAGGAUUGGACUCUGCUCAUGGCUCCUCAGAAACUGAGGCCAUCAGCCGCAGCACCACGGUGCCAUUGGAGCCUGCUUCCCCAUCUCCAUCUCCAGAGACCGGGAGCCACAGCAGGUCUCAACAGGCAGCAUGGCAGCAGUCACAGCCAUCUUCCUUGCUGGACACCAGCAGCCCCAGCAGAUCAAGGUUAACCUACAGCAGCUCCCCUGACCCUGAGGACAGGGUCCAUUCCAGGCGUGCUCGGCCCGGCCGCAGGCAAAGCCGCUCUUGCCAGCAAGGUUCGCCCCAGAGCCCACCUGUCCGGUCCAGGAGUCGCCAUGAGAGGAACAGUGUGACAGGGCCAAGGACUGAGAGGCCCAGGCAAAGGGAGACACCAUCUCGGAGAUGCCGCCAGCAAGGUUGGGCCCAGAGCCCAUGUGUCCAGUCCAGGAGUCACCGUGACAGUAGUGGGACAGAGCCAAAAACUGAGAGGCUCCGGCGAAGGGAGACAUGGUCAGGGACAUCCCCUGGAAGCAGCCGCUCCCGCCAGGAAAGCUGGGCCCAAAGCCCACCUGUCCGGUCCAGGAAUCGCCGUGACAGGAGUAGUGGGACAGAGCCAAGGGCUGAGAGGCCCAGGCAAAGGGAGACACCAUCCUUGGCGUCCCCCAGACCCAGCUGCUCGCACCAGCAAGGUUGGGCCCGGAGUCCACCUGUCCGGUCCAGGAGUCGCCGUGACAGCAACAGUGGGACAGAGCCAAGGGCUGAGAAGCCCAGACGAAGGCAGACAUGGUCAGGGACGUCCCCCAGACACAGCCUCUCCCGUGAGCAAGGCUGGGCCCAGAGUCCACCUGUCCGGUCCAGGAGUCGCCGUGACAGCAACAGUGGGACAGAGCCAAGGACUGGGAGGCCCAGGCGAAGGGAGUCAUCAUCAGGGACGUCCCCCAGACGCAGCCGCUCCCGCCUGCAGCGCCGGGCCUCAAAUCAACCUGUGCGGUCCAGGAGUCGCCAGGACGGGAGC